rnacentral:sRNA from 1 species
UAGUCUAUGUCGAGUUCCUUGGGGACUCCAC